rnacentral:rRNA from 1 species
UACGAAGGGUGCAAGCGUUACUCGGAAUUACUGGGCGUAAAGCGUGCGUAGGUGGUUUGUUAAGUCUGUUGUGAAAUCCCCGGGCUUAACCUGGGAACUGCGCUUGUGACUGCAAGACUCGAGUACGGCAGAGGGGGGUAGAAUUCCACGUGUAGCAGUGAAAUGCGUAGAGAUGUGGAGGAAUACCGAUGGCGAAGGCAGCCCCCUGGGAUAACACUGACGCUCAUGCACGAAAGCGUGGGGAGCAAACAGG